GAAGAAAGCUGGCGGCUUUCUUAACACAUUCAAGUCGAACGUAAAGGCCCUGCUUUUGUGGGGUGCUCGAGUGGCGAACGGGUGAGUAACACGUGAGUAACCUGCCCUUGACUUUGGGAUAACUUCAGGAAACUGGGGCUAAUACCGGAUAGGAGCUCCUGCUGCAUGGUGGGGGUUGGAAAGUUUCGGCGGUUGGGGAUGGACUCGCGGCUUAUCAGCUUGUUGGUGGGGUAGUGGCUUACCAAGGCUUUGACGUGUAGCCGGCCUGAGAGGGUGACCGGCCACAUUGGGACUGAGAUACGGCCCAGACUCCUACGGGAGGCAGCAGUGGGGAAUAUUGCACAAUGGGCGGAAGCCUGAUGCAGCAACGCCGCGUGCGGGAGGAAGGGGGUCGGGUUGUAAACCGCUUUCGCCUGUGACGAAGAGUGAGUGAAGGUAAUGGGUAAAGAAGCAAAGGAUAAAUACGGG
rnacentral:rRNA from 1 species